rnacentral:rRNA from 1 species
CCUACGGGAGGCAGCAGUGGGGAAUAUUGCGCAAUGGGCGAAAGCCUGACGCAGCGACGCCGCGUGAGGGAUGAAGGUCUUCGGAUCGUAAACCUCUGUCAGCAGGGAAGAACGGUCACUGUGCUAAUCAGCAGUGAAUUGACGGUACCUGCAAAGGAAGCACCGGCUAACUCCGUGCCAGCAGCCGCGGUAAUACGGAGGGUGCGAGCGUUAAUCGGAAUUACUGGGCGUAAAGCGCUCGUAGGCGGUAUGGCAAGUCAAGGGUGAAAUCCCCGCGCUCAACGUGGGAACUGCCUUUGAAACUGGCAAACUGGAGUGUGUGAGAGGAUAGUGGAAUUCCAGGUGUAGGAGUGAAAGCCGUAGAUAUCUGGAGGAACAUAAGUGGCGAAGGCGACUAUCUGGCACAUAACUGACGCUGAGGAGCGAAAGCGUGGGUAGCAAACAGGAUUAGAUACCCUUGUAGUC